rnacentral:rRNA from 1 species
UUUGCCUGCAUCUCUUACCCAUGUCUUUUGAGUACCUUCGUUUCCUCGGUGGGUUCGCCCGCCGAUUGGACAACACUUAAACCCUUUGUAAUUGAAAUCAGCGUCUGAAAAAACUUAAUAGUUACAACUUUCAACAACGGAUCUCUUGGUUCUGGCAUCGAUGAAGAACGCAGCGAAAUGCGAUAAGUAGUGUGAAUUGCAGAAUUCAGUGAAUCAUCGAAUCUUUGAACGCACAUUGCGCCCCUUGGUAUUCCAUGGGGCAUGCCUGUUCGAGCGUCAUUUGUACCUUCAAGCUUUGCUUGGUGUUGGGUGUUUGUCUCGCCUCUGCGCGCAGACUCGCCUUAAAACGAUUGGCAGCCGGCGUAUUGAUUUCGGAGCGCAGUACAUCUCGCGCUUUGCACUCAUAACGACGACGUCCAAAAAGUACAUUUUUUACACUCUUGACCUCGGAUCAGGUAGGGAUACCCGCUGAACUUAAGCAUAUCAAUAAGCGGAGGAA